rnacentral:rRNA from 1 species
UACGGAGGGGGCAAGCGUUGUUCGGAAUUACUGGGCGUAAAGGGCUCGUAGGCGGCCAACUAAGUCAGACGUGAAAUCCCCAGGCUCAACCUGGGAACUGCGUCUGAUACUGGAUGGCUUGAAUUCGGGAGAGGGAUGCAGAAUUCCAGGUGUAGCGGUGAAAUGCGUAGAUAUCUGGAGGAAUACCGGUGGCGAAGGCGGCAUCCUGGACAGACAUUGACGCUGAUGAGCGAAAGCGAGGGGAGCAAACGGG